UAUGAUACUUCCCUGAACCUGACUGAAAAAGGGCCCGCGCAGUAGGAUAAGCCGCGGGGGAAUGCUCGCCGUGUUUGAAAAAGAAUACGGCCGGAUUUC
rnacentral:sRNA from 12 species